rnacentral:rRNA from 1 species
GCCCGUUCGCCGCUCAACCUGGUGACUCUGAAUAACUUUCGGCUGAUCGCACGGUCCAGCACCGGCGACGCAUCUUUCAAAUGUCUGCCUUAUCAACUGUCGAUGGUAGGUUCUGCGCCUACCAUGGUCGUAACGGGUAACGGGGAAUCAGGGUUCGAUUCCGGAGAGGGAGCCUGAGAAACGGCUACCACAUCCAAGGAAGGCAGCAGGCGCGCAAAUUACCCACUCCCGGCACGGGGAGGUAGUGACGAAAAAUAACGAUACGGGACUCAUCCGAGGCCCCGUA